CUUGCAUAAAACUGAUUCCCUUUCAAGGUUGGCAUCCUAUGGAAGAUAAGGAUAAAAAUAAGGUAGUUUCGGUUCAAAUUCAAGUGUUGGUUGAUCCUUAUCAUCAAUUCAAAUCAAAUUUGAAUUAAAUUUUGAAUCAAACUUUAUUCUUAUCUUAUGAACUCAAAGAGGGGUUGACCAACAUUAGAAUAGUAUAAAAAAUCUCACACAAAAAUAUUUUAUGCAUGGAGAAAUGUGAUGGCGUGAAGAGGAGAGUCUAACUCAAUUUAGACUCUAGAUUUUUAUUCAAAUUCAAACCAAUUUGAACUCAAAUUUAAAUCAACCAAUUUUUAAUUCAAAAGGACACAGAUGAGGAUAUGGAAAAGGCUUCUAGGUAUGAGAAAAAAAUUACAUAAACUAUUUCUCACGUAAAGAACAAGAGGGCAU
rnacentral:lncRNA from 1 species